rnacentral:rRNA from 1 species
UGGGGAAUAUUGCACAAUGGGCGCAAGCCUGAUGCAGCCAUGCCGCGUGUGUGAAGAAGGCCUUCGGGUUGUAAAGCACUUUCAGCGGGGAGGAAGGCGAUAAGGUUAAUAACCUUGUCGAUUGACGUUACCCGCAGAAGAAGCACCGGCUAACUCCGUGCCAGCAGCCGCGGUAAUACGGAGGGUGCAAGCGUUAAUCGGAAUUACUGGGCGUAAAGCGCACGCAGGCGGUCUGUCAAGUCGGAUGUGAAAUCCCCGGGCUUAACCUGGGAACUGCAUUCGAAACUGGCAGGCUAGAGUCUUGUAGAGGGGGGUAGAAUUCCAGGUGUAGCGGUGAAAUGCGUAGAGAUGUGGAGGAAUACCGGUGGCGAAGGCGGCCCCCUGGACAAAGACUGACGCUCAGGUGCGAAAGCGUGGGGAGCAAACAGG